ensembl:rRNA 5S_rRNA 5S ribosomal RNA
AUCUAUGGCUAUACCACACUGAACGCGCCCGAUCUCGUCUGUUCUUGGAAGCUAAGCACGGUCCGGCCUGUUUAGGACUUGCAUGGCAGACCAUCUGGGAAUACCAGGUGCUGUAGGUU